CAGAGCUGAAGUUGGAACUAUCAGUCGUGCACACCAUCGCCAUUUGGUUUCUCUUGUAGGAUACUGUGUAUCAGAGAAUCAGAGAUUGCUCGUCUAUGAUUAUGUGCCCAAUAGAACUCUUUAUUACCAUCUCCAUGGAAAAGGAAGAGCAGUAAUGCAAUGGACCAAGAGGGUUAAGGUCGCUGUUGGGACAGCUCGUGG